GACGAACGCUGGCGGCGUGCCUAAUACAUGCAAGUCGAGCGGACAGAAGGGAGCUUGCUCCCGGAAGUUAGCGGCGGACGGGUGAGUACACGUGGGCAACCUACCCUGUAGAUCGGGAUAACAUCGAGAAAUCGGUGCUAAUACCGGAUAAUCAUUUGAAGUGCAUGCUUCGAAUGUAAAAGAUGGCUCCGGCUAUCACUACGGGAUGGGCCCGCGGCGCAUUAGCUGGUUGGUAAGGUAAUGGCGUACCAAGGCAACGAUGCGUAGCCGACCUGAGAGGGUGAUCGGCCACACUGGGACUGAGACACGGCCCAGACUCCUACGGGAGGCAGCAGUAGGGAAUCUUCCGCAAUGGACGAAAGUCUGACGGAGCAACGCCGCGUGAGUGAUGAAGGUUUUCGGAUCGUAAAGCUCUGUGGUUAGGGAAGAACAAGUGCCGUUUGAAUAAGGCGGCACCUUGACGGUACCUAACCAGAAAGCCACGGCUAACUACGUGCCAGCCGCCGCCGUAAAAC
rnacentral:rRNA from 1 species